CGCCUGUUUAUCAAAAACAUCUUUUCUUGUUAGUUUUUGAAGUAUGGCCUGCCCGCUGAUUUUAGGUUGAAGGGCCGCGGUAUUUUGACCGUGCAAAGGUAGCAUAAUCAUUAGUUCUUUAAUUGUGAUCUGGUAUGAAUGGCUUGACGAGGCAUGGGCUGUCUUGGAUUGGGAUUGUUUGUUGAAUUUGGUUUUUGAGUUAGAAUUCUUAAAUGUUUUUAUGGGACGAGAAGACCCUAUAGAGUUUAACAUUUAUUUAUACAGCGUUUUGGUUUGUUGUGUAGUUGCUUUGUGUUAAUGUGUUUUGUUGGGGUGAUGGGAAGAAUUUUCUUAACUCUUCUUUAUUUUGGUAUAUUGAUUUAUGUUGGUUUUGAUCCAUUUAUUUUGAUUAUAAGAUUAAAUUACCUUAGGGAUAACAGCGUAAA
rnacentral:rRNA from 1 species